AUUGAACGCUGGCGGCAGGCCUAACACAUGCAAGUCGAGCGGAUGAAGGGAGCUUGCUCCUGGAUUCAGCGGCGGACGGGUGAGUAAUGCCUAGGAAUCUGCCUGGUAGUGGGGGAUAACGUCCGGAAACGGGCGCUAAUACCGCAUACGUCCUGAGGGAGAAAGUGGGGGAUCUUCGGACCUCACGCUAUCAGAUGAGCCUAGGUCGGAUUAGCUAGUUGGUGGGGUAAAGGCCUACCAAGGCGACGAUUCGUAACUGGUCUGAGAGGAUGAUCAGUCACACUGGAACUGAGACACGGUCCAGACUCCUACGGGAGGCAGCAGUGGGGAAUAUUGGACAAUGGGCGAAAGCCUGAUCCAGCCAUGCCGCGUGUGUGAAGAAGGUCUUCGGAUUGUAAAGCACUUUAAGUUGGGAGGAAGGGCAGUAAGUUAAUACCUUGCUGUUUUGACGUUACCAACAGAAUAAGCCCCGGCUAACUUCGUG
rnacentral:rRNA from 1 species